AUUGAACGCUGGCGGCAGGCCUAACACAUGCAAGUCGAACGGUAACAGGAAGAAGCUUGCUUCUUUGCUGACGAGUGGCGGACGGGUGAGUAAUGUCUGGGAAACUGCCUGAUGGAGGGGGAUAACUACUGGAAACGGUAGCUAAUACCGCAUAACGUCGCAAGACCAAAGAGGGGGACCUCCGGGCCUCUUGCCUUCGGAUUUGCCCAGAUGGGAUUAGCUAGUAGGUGGGGUAACGGCUCACCUAGGCGACGAUCCCUAGCUGGUCUGAGAGGAUGACCAGCCACACUGGAACUGAGACACGGUCCAGACUCCUACGGGAGGCAGCAGUGGGGAAUAUUGCACAAUGGGCGCAAGCCUGAUGCAGCCAUGCCGCGUGUAUGAAGAAGGCCUUCGGGUUGUAAAGUACUUUCAGCGGGGAGGAAGGGAGUAAAGUUAAUACCUUUGCUCAUUGACGGUACCCGCAGAAGAAGCACCGGCUAACUCUGUG
rnacentral:rRNA from 1 species